CUGCUGCUUUAUAAAGCUGAGCCCAGUGAAGGGAGAGUUUAUCAGUGACCAGGCACAGGGACAGGAGCAGACACCAUGAUUUCAGCCAUCCAGCUGAUCUGGCCUCUGGCAUUCUGCAUCGCAGGUAUCAGCGGGGACAUCACCAUGACCCAGUCUCCCCUGGUGUCAGUGAGCCUGGGCCAGACCGCCACCAUCACCUGUACAGCCAGUCAGUCUGUUAGCAGCUAUGUUGCUUGGUACCAGCAGCGAGAAGGACAGAAACCCACUCUCCUGAUCUAUGAUGCAACAACUCGAUUCACAGGAACAUCCGAGCGAUUCACCGGCAGUGGAUCUGGCACUCAAUUCACCCUGACAAUCAGCAAUGUACAGAAUGAGGAUGUCGCUGAUUAUUAUUGUCAGCAAUAUAACAGCUGGCCGGUUACGUUCGGUAAAGGAACCAAGCUCAGACUGAGCAGAGAGAAGUCACCACCCACAGUGACCCUGCUGCCCCCCUCCCCAGAGGAGGUCAAGACCAAGGGCACUGCCACCCUGGUGUGCCUUGCCAAUCACUUCUAUCCCGAUGAGGUGAAGGUGGAGUGGAAGAAGGACGGUGCAGCCAUUUCGGACGGGGUUCAGACCAGCAACUACCUGCGAGCUUCGGACAGCACCUACAGCGUCAGCAGCCUACUGACCCUCUCUGGCUCCGGCUGGGAGUCCAACGCCAGCUUCUCCUGUGUCGUCACCCACGAGAGUCUUUCCUCUCCCCUCAGAAAGAGUAUCAGGAGAUCAGAAUGUGCAUAGAGUGUUAGAGACAGUCCAGAGAGGAGAUACAACUUUAAAUAGAACAGGGGUGAGCUGGGAGGACAAAGGUCGUUGUCAGCACCAAAUUACAAGUCUCUUCCUUCUCAGGACAGGCUCUGAGACACUUCUGAGGGUCAGGGGUUAAGGCACGUUAUUGUGACAUUGUAGAGGGAGCUUUACUCUGUAUCUAACCCCGUGUCGUACCUGCCCUGGGAGUGUUUGAUGGGGACAGUGUAGAGGGAGCUUUACUCUGUAUCUAACCCCGUGCUGUACCUGUCCUGGGAGUGUUUGAUGGGGACAGUGUAGAGGGAGCUUUACUCUGUAUCUAACCCCGUGCUGUACCUGCCCUGGGAGUGUUUGUUGGGACAGUUUAAUCUCGUGAUGCUAAGUAAAACCUCUCUAAAUGCUGAAGACUGUCAGCUGUACAAAAAUAAUGUGACCCUCCGCAGUGUCUGCUUCAGUAAACCAGACCCUUCCUGCUCACCCUGCAGUUACAAUUUAAGGUUUAGUCACUGUUUGAAGGGACAGGAUUCUCAUGUUCUGGAGAAAAUCUCCACAAGCGUUUUAAUAAACCUCCAUUCUCCCUAUGAAUUUCUCCAUCUUCCUCUGGCUGGGCUGUUUAUUCAAGUCUUUUUUCUGUAAAUGUCAAUGUGUAAAAGGUAAUAAACAUUAAGAAUAUUCA